GGGGGCAUAGCUCAGCUGGGAGAGCAACAGACUGAAGUUCGUUCUUCUGGAGGUCCCCGGUUCAAUCCCGGGUGCCCCCA